UACGUAGGGUGCGAGCGUUAAUCGGAAUUACUGGGCGUAAAGCGUGCGCAGGCGGUUCGUUAAGUCAGAUGUGAAAGCCCCGGGCUCAACCUGGGAACUGCAUUUGAAACUGGCGGGCUUGAGUGUGGCAGAGGGGGGUGGAAUUCCGCGUGUAGCGGUGAAAUGCGUAGAGAUGCGGAGGAACACCGAUGGCGAAGGCAGCCCCCUGGGCCAACACUGACGCUCAGGCACGAAAGCGUGGGGAGCAAACAGG
rnacentral:rRNA from 1 species